rnacentral:rRNA from 1 species
AUUGAACGCUGGCGGCAUGCUUUACACAUGCAAGUCGAACGGUAACAGCACUUCGGUGGCUGACGAGUGGCGAACGGGUGAGUAAUACAUCGGAACGUGCCUAGUAGUGGGGGAUAACUACUCGAAAGAGUAGCUAAUACCGCAUGAGAUCUAAGGAUGAAAGCAGGGGACCUUCGGGCCUUGCGCUACUAGAGCGGCUGAUGGCAGAUUAGGUAGUUGGUGGGAUAAAAGCUUACCAAGCCGACGAUCUGUAGCUGGUCUGAGAGGACGACCAGCCACACUGGGACUGAGACACGGCCCAGACUCCUACGGGAGGCAGCAGUGGGGAAUUUUGGACAAUGGGCGCAAGCCUGAUCCAGCAAUGCCGCGUGCAGGAUGAAGGCCUUCGGGUUGUAAACUGCCUUUGUACGGAACGAAAAGCCCUCUUCUAAUACAGGAGGGUCAUGACGGUACCGUAAGAAUAAGCACCGGCUAACUACGU